UAGAAACCACCCAGGCAAAGAGAACUUUAGUCUGACUCCCCGAAACUAAGUGAGCUACUCCAAGACAGCCUAUUAAUAGGGCACACCCGUCUCUGUGGCAAAAGAGUGGGAAGAGCUUUGAGUAGAGGUGAUAGACCUACCGAACUUAGUUAUAGCUGGUUGCCUGAGAAAUGGAUAGAAGUUCAGCCUCUCGGCUUCUUUUCUCACCCCGUCCUACACCCCACAGACACCCAAAGAAACCGCGAGAGUUAUUCAAAGGGGGUACAGCCCCUUUGAAACAAGACACAACUUUUCCAGGAGGAUAAAGAUCAUAAUUAAACCAAAGUAAAAUGUUUGGGUGG
rnacentral:rRNA from 1 species